rnacentral:rRNA from 1 species
AUUGAACGCUGGCGGCAGGCUUAACACAUGCAAGUCGAGCGGGGGAGGUUGCUUCGGUAACAGACCUAGCGGCGGACGGGUGAGUAAUGCUUAGGAAUCUGCCAUUUAGUGGGGGACAACAUUCCGAAAGGAAUGCUAAUACCGCAUACGUCCUACGGGAGAAAGCAGGGGAUCUUCGGACCUUGCGCUAAAUGAUGAGCCUAAGUCGGAUUAGCUAGUUGGUGGGGUAAAGGCCUACCAAGGCGACGAUCUGUAGCGGGUCUGAGAGGAUGAUCCGCCACACGGGGACUGAGACACGGACCAGACUCCUACGGGAGGCAGCAGUGGGGAAUAUUGGACAAUGGUCGGAAGCCUGAUCCAGCCAUGCCGCGUGUGUGAAGAAGGCCUUAUGGUUGUAAAGCACUUUAAGCGAGGAGGAGGCUACUAGUAUUAAUACUACUGGAUAGAGGACGUUACUCGCAGAAUAAGCACCGGCUAACUCUGUGCCAGCAGCCGCCGUAA